rnacentral:rRNA from 1 species
UGAGGAAUAUUGGGCAAUGCCCGCAAGGGUGACCCAGCAACGCCGCGUGGAGGAUGAAUGUCGUAAGACUGUAAACUCCUGUUAGAGGGGAAGAAUAGUACCGGUUGGACCGGUAUAUGACUGUACCCUCAGAGAAAGCCCCGGCUAACUACGUGCCAGCAGCCGCGGUAAUACGUAGGGGGCAAGCGUUGUCCGGAUUUACUGGGUGUAAAGGGCGCGCAGGCGGGAUAAAAAGUCAGUGGUGAAAUCCUACAGCUUAACUGUAGAACUGCCUUUGAUACUUUUAUUCUUGAGUUCGGGAGAGAGAGACGGAAUUCCAGGUGUAGUAGUGAAAUACGUAGAUAUCUGGAAGAACACCAGUUGCGAAGGCGGUCUCUUGGUCCGACACUGACGCUGAGGCGCGAAAGCGUGGGGAGCAAACA